rnacentral:RNase_P_RNA from 1 species
UAAAGUGCCACAGUGACGAAUCAAUUUGGAAACAAUUGAGUGAAACGCGGUAAACCCCAAAAGCAAGAAACUUAAAUUUCGGUAAAGGAACAAACAAUAGGUAAACGAAUCUAGCGUUUGACCAAUAAGCAAUUAUUGGUAGAUAAAUGGUCAAUAUCAUUUGCAAAAAUGACACAGAACAUGGCUUAAGCUC